rnacentral:lncRNA from 1 species
AUGUAUAAAAGGUGUCCGGCAUUGUAUAGGCAAUUGAGAGGCGAAGGGGGUAAAUUGGAGGAUGGGCGGAGGUCCGGAGUUUGCAGGAUGCCUACUGGGAGUGGGGCUGCAGGUGAGUGUGAGGUCUGCGUGGGGGUGGCGACUGGAACGCUGGAGCGGCGGCUCGGGGAGCAUAAACGAGACUUGGGUGACCGGACUGCCAAUGCUGCGCUGGCAUUGGCCGCCGUUGGGAAUGAUUUGCAGGUCGACUGGCGUAGGGCGGAGGUGGACCUUUAACGAAAGAUAAGCGUGCGAUCCUCGCG